CUCUCUCUCUCUCUCUCACCUCAGCCUGGCAGGGAGGGAGCCGCGCGCGUCAUGGCCAGUGCCAAGCCAGCCCGCGUGAAGGUUAGAGCGCCUCGCUCGCCUCCGCCUCGACCCUUCUCUCGGUUUUCCAGUGAAAACGUGAGUUGUGUCAGUGUGUGUCAGUGUGUGGCUGAGCCGCGCGCCUCACGCUGCCCUCGGAACGAUUGACACUUACAGGCAUUGAGCUGUUGUCGGUGUUUGCUGUGGUGUGUUUUGGUGCAGGUGAAAGGUUUUAUAUAAAGAAAUGUCAAGGCAGUGUGUUUGAUCAUCUGUGGUGAUUAAAAAAGAACCGUUUGACGUGAUUCCUGGUAGUGCUGACGUCAGGUCCCGAACUGGGGGCGACUCAAGGCAAAAUGUAAAGAAAACUGCAGUGACAUAAAAUGAUUAUCAGGGUGCCAUACACUACGCCCCCUCAAGCCGCUGCCGCCCCUCACGCCACACCACGCGCCAAACUCCCACCAUGCCGUGCUUGAAGCGGAAAGGCGAGCCCACCUCCCCGACGGAGAAGGAGGAAGGGCGCGGCUUGCCUGAGGAGGAGCCGGAGCAGGUGGCCAGGGGGCGAAGCAGGGCCAUGCAUCUCUUCUGCGGCCUGCUGGCUACCCUCGCAGAAAGGAUGGCCUGCGGCAAGUACAAGAGAAAGAGACAGCGUCCUGAAGUAUAGUGAC